rnacentral:rRNA from 1 species
AGGGAAUCUUCCGCAAUGGACGAAAGUCUGACGGAGCAACGCCGCGUGAGUGAAGAAGGUCUUCGGAUCGUAAAACUCUGUUGUUAGGGAAGAACAAGUAUCGUUCGAAUAGGGCGGUACCUUGACGGUACCUAACCAGAAAGCUACGGCUAACUACGUGCCAGCAGCCGCGGUAAUACGUAGGUGGCAAGCGUUGUCCGGAAUUAUUGGGCGUAAAGCGCGCGCAGGCGGUCUUUUAAGUCUGAUGUGAAAGCCCACGGCUCAACCGUGGAGGGUCAUUGGAAACUGGAAGACUUGAGUGCAGAAGAGGAGAGUGGAAUUCCACGUGUAGCGGUGAAAUGCGUAGAGAUGUGGAGGAACACCAGUGGCGAAGGCGGUUCUCUGGACUGUAACUGACGCUGAGGCACGAAAGCGUGGGUAGCAAAC